UGAUGACGAGACGCUAAGGCGUUGAAGCAGUGUAUGUCAGACUUCCAAGAAAAGCUCGCAAUGUCACAAAUAAAGAAUGCCUGUACCAUAACCGACACAGGUGGGUAGGUAGAGUAUACUAAGGGGCGCGAGAUAACUCUCUCUAAGGAACUCGGCAAAAUGACUCCGUAACUUCGGGAGAAGGAGUGCCUUAUUUAUAAGGUUGCAAUAACAAGAUCCAAGCAACUGUUUAUCAAAAACACAGGUCUCCGCUAAGUCGUAAGACGAUGUAUGGGGGCUGACGCCUGCCCAGUGCCAGAAGGUUAAAGAAGUUGGUUAGUGUAUGCGAAGCUGAUGACUGAAGCCCUGGUGAACGGCGGCCGUAACAAUAACGGUCCUAAGGUAGCGAAAUUCCUUGUCGGGUAAGUUCCGACCCGCACGAAAGGCGUAAUGAUUUGGAUACUGUCUCGGAGAGAGGCUCGGUGAAAUAGACUUGUCUGUGAAGAUGCGGACUACCUGCACCAGGACAGAAAGACCCUAUGAAGCUUUACUGUAACUUGAAAUUGGAAUUGGACUUUGCUUGCGCAGUAUAGGUGGGAAGCGUUGAAAAUAUUCUUGCGGGAGUAUUGGAGCUAUCAGUGAGAUACCACUCUUGUAAUGUUAGAUUUCUAACUUUGAACCAUAAUCUGGUCAAAGAACAGUUUCAGGUGGGCAGUUUGACUGGGGCGGUCGCCUCCCAAAUGGUAACGGAGGCGUACAAAGGUUUCCUCUGAACGGAUAGAAAUCGUAUCUAGAGUGUAAAGGCAUAAGGAAGCUUGACUGUGAGACCUACAAGUCGAGCAGGGACGAAAGUCGGUCUUAGUGAUCUGACGGUACUGAGUGGAAAGGCCGUCACUCAACGGAUAAAAGUUACUCUAAGGAUAACAGGCUGAUCUCCCCCAAGAGUUCACAUCGACGGGGAGGUUUGGCACCUCGAUGUCGGCUCAUCGCAUCCUGGGGCGGUAGUACGUCCCAAGGGUUGGGCUGUUCGCCCAUGAAAGCGGUACGCGAGCUGGGUUCAGAACGUCGUGAGACAGUUCGGUCCAUAUCCGGUGUAGGCGCUAGAAUAUUGAGAGGAGCCUUCUUUAGUACGAGAGGACCGAGAAGGACACACCGCUGGUGUACCAGUUAUCGUGCCAACGGUAAACGCUGGGUAGCUAUGUGUGGAGUGGAUAACCGCUGAAAGCAUCUAAGUGGGAAGCCCACCUCGAGAUGAGUAUUCUC
rnacentral:rRNA from 1 species